AACGAACGCUGGCGGCAGGCCUAACACAUGCAAGUUGAGCGCGGGCUCCGGCUCCAUUGGCCUACGGGUGCGUAAAGCGGUGUAUUCUACUCUUUUCUACCGAAUCCUUCUGGGACACUGGGCGUAAUACCGCCUAACCCCCCCCGGCGAAAGAUUUAUCGCAGAAGGAUCAGCCCGCGUUGGAUUAGGUCGUUGGUGGGGUAAUGGCCUACCAAGCCGACGAUCCAUAGCUGGUUUGAGACGAUGAUCAGCCACACUGGGGCUGAGACACGGCCCCGACUCCUACGGGAGGCAGCAGUGGGGAAUCUUAGACAAUGGGGGCAACCCUGAUCUAGCCGGGCCGCGUAAGUGAUGAAGGCCUUAGGGUUGUAAAGCUCGUUCAGCUGGGAAGAUAAUGACGGUACCAGCAGAAGAAGCCCCGGCUAACUACGUG
rnacentral:rRNA from 1 species